UUCUGUUCAAUGAUUUUUUAAAUUCUGGUGGUAUUUUGCUUAUCCAAAGGUAUGGUAAUAAGAUUUUAAUUGAAUCUUAAAAGAAUGGAAAUUUAAAAAAAACCUUUUUUAAAAAUAAAAAUUGAAUUUUUUUUAAUUUGUGCAAAACCAAUUAUAUUUAUUAAAGCCAAGAAGCCCUUAAGAAUUUAAGUUUUUCCAAUUAAAAAUUUUUUUUUUAAAAUCUUGAUUGGGGCGAUCAAAAAAUAUUAAUAACUUUUUAAAAUUUAAAUUGAUCUAUUAUUAAUAAACUAAUGAAUUAAAUACUCUAGGGAUAACAGCGUAAUAAUUUUUGAUAGAUCUUAUUGACAAAAUAGUUUGCGACCUCGAUGUUGGAUUAGGAUUCUUUUUUAAUGAAGAAGUAAAAAAAGAAGUUUUUUCC
rnacentral:rRNA from 1 species